rnacentral:rRNA from 1 species
UACGUAGGGUCCGAGCGUUGUCCGGAAUUACUGGGUGUAAAGAGCUCGUAGGUGGUUUGUCGCGUUGUCCGUGAAAACUCACAGCUCAACUGUGGGCGUGCGGGCGAUACGGGCAGACUGGAGUACUGCAGGGGAGACUGGAAUUCCUGGUGAUAGCGGUGGAAUGCGCAGAUAGUCAGGAGGAACACCGGUGGCGAAGGCGGGUCUCUGGGCGAGUAACUGACGCUGGAGGAGCGAAAGCGUGGGGAGCGAACAGG